UCUGGUUUUAUUAAAAGUAAUUUCAGAGUUAGUGCUAUUACAUCUGUUCUCAAAUGGAACAUGCACAUAUGCUGUGGCUAUUCUCUUUAUGCAUAAUGUUUACUAAUGCAGCUGAGGUUUGGGAGAAAGAGCAUUAUACUUGGGUCAAAGGGACCUGUAUUCGGACCUCUGCCCAUAUGUUACUGUGUAAGCUUCAGCAAGAAAUGCCACCUCUCUGGGCCAUUUUCCUCUGAACAGUGAGUACAGUACUAUCACCUUUUUAUACUGUAUGGUAUUUUGGUGAUGAUACUUGUAAACAAAGAGUACCCAUUACAGCUGGAUAGGCAGUAGAUAUUUAUUUUGUCUGAAUGCAGUAGACAUGAGCUUGGAUUUUUUUGUACUUGGAAUUUCUACUGAUGGAGGAGCCACCUCUGAGCCAGAUUUCUCUGACUUAGAUUCUCUUAAUCAUGAUUUCUGGCCCUCUAAGGUGGCUUCUACUCAAACCUCUUCCUUUCCCUGAAUCUCCCAAGCCAUUUUCUUCAUGGCUGUGUUCCCUCCCAUCUUAGUACUUCUUCCUAAUCCCGAGGCCUUCUGAUCACUCUAGUCACUUCUUCCUACUCUUCUCUCCCAGGGUUUUACCUAGCUCUCCUCUUAGGUUUUUGUUUGUUUUUUUUGAAAUGGAGUCUUGCUCUGUCGCCCAGCCUGGAGUGCAGUGGUGUAAUCUUGGCAACCUCCGCCUCCUGGGUUCAAGCAAUUCUCCAGCCUCAGCCUCCCAAGUAGUUGGGACUACAGGUGCAUGCCACCACAUCCAGCUAAUUUUUUUGUAUCUUUAGUAGAGAUGGGGUUUCACUGUGGUGGCCAGGCUGGUCUCAAACUCCUGACCUCAAGUGAUCUGCCUGCCUUGGCCUCCCAAAAUGUUAGGAUUAUAGGUGUGAGCCAUGGCACCCAGCCCCAGACUUGAAUUUCUUGAAUUCCGCUGGCAGAAAGGUAGGGGAACCAUAAAAGUGAGGCAACUUAGAGGUUUAAGUGGAUGGGGCUUGGAGCCUCCACAUCCCUUACCUGUCAUAUUAACUAGGACACCUUUUUUAAAAUAUGUCGAGUGAGUAUAAUUUACCUACCUCAUAGGGUUCUUCAGGGAUAAGUGAGUGCAAGCACUUACUGCAUGUAGUGUCUGGCACAUAGUAUAUAACGCAGGAAGUGUCAACUGUUAGAUAAAGCAGGUGCACAUGUAACCUGUUGCAAACAGACAAGUCUCAAAACUGGCACCAAACCUUUCUUACGCAGCCCUGAGAAUUCAUACCAAAUAGAUAAUGGAGAUUAUGUUAAUAAGUCUUAUGUUAUAUUCUUGUGGACUAAAAAAUUAAGAGCCAGGCACACUGUCACCAAUCCUAGCCCUGCUGCUUGCCCGCUCAGUGACUUUGGACUAGUCAGUUAGAGAGGUGGGCUAUGGAGCCCUCAUCUGGACCAUAGACUUGAUUAACCUUUGCUUGCAGGCUCCUGGUAGUGGUAUGUGGGAAGUGCCUAGCCAUAGCAAAUUCUCUAUAAAUUGUGGCUAUUAUUAUAAACCAUAUAGUUGACACAAUGUGAUAUGAAAAGCAAGCUUGUGCUAGAGAAGAGAACAACAGAGAAGAAUCUAAUUUUGGGAGAGCAAACAUAAAGGAGCCUGUGGGAUGGUAGUGUGACGGAGGGAUGAGAGGCCAGCAGGGAUAUGUUGAACUGGAAAUUUCCUUUGACUGGAGAGAGCAUUUUGAGGUUUUUGUUGGUUGAAAGAGGAGAACAAAAUAGGAGCCAGGCUAGACUGUCAAGGAGUAGGUGAAUGCAGAACUAACUGGAAGAGUGAAGAGAGGCAGGACAGAGAGAAAGACUUUUUAGAUGUUAAAAACUCUGGUGGACAAACCUAUUUUUACUGAGGCAGGAGUAUUGCUUGAUCCUAGGAGUUCAAGACCAGCCUUGGCAACAUAGUAAGAACCUGCCUCUCUUAAAAAAGUAAAUCCUAAUCAAGUUUCUUUUUUUUUUUUUUUUACAGACAGAGUUUCCCUCUUGUUGCCCAGGCUGGAGUGCAAUGGCACGAUCUGGGCUCACUGCAAUGUUCACCUCCUAGGUUCAAGCGAUUCUCCUGCCUCAGCCUUCUGAGUAGCUGGGAUUGCAGGCGUGAGCCACUGUGCCUGGCCUAAUUAAGUAUCUUUAUUUGCAGCAAAUCAGGUUCCCAUUCUGAAAUUAUAUGUACUCUUUAAAAAAAAAUACAAUAUGGCUGAGUGUGGUGACUCACGCCUAUAAUCCCAGCACUUUGAAAGUCCCAGGCAGGUGGAUCCCUUGAGGUCAGGAAUUUGAGACCAGCCUGGCCAACAUGGCAAAACCCUGCGUCUCAGUGUUUUUUUCAAAUAAAAAAUUAGCUGAGCAUGGCUGCAUGUGCCUAUAAUCCCCGAUACUCAGGAGGCUGAAGUGGGAGAAUGAACCCCAGAGGGAGAGGCUGUAGUGAGCUGAGAUUGCGUCACUACACUCCAGUGUGGGUGACAGAGUGAGACGCCAUCUCAAAAUAAGUCACUGGCAUAAACAUACCCUUUUUAUGUCUUAUUCAUUAGAGUUCUUUAAAAAGUAAGGUUAGGCCAGGCUCACUGGCUCAUGCCUAUAAUCCAGCAGUCUGGGAGGCUGAGGUGAGUGGAUUGCUUGAGGUUAGGAGUUUGAGACCAGCCUGGCCAACAUGGCGAAAACCUGUUUCUACUAAAAAUUAAAAAAUUAGCCAGGUGUGGUGGCGUGCGCCUGUAAUCCCAGCUACUUGGGAGGCUGAGGUGGGAGAAUCACUUGAACCUGGGAGGUGGACAUUUCAGUGAGCUGAAAUUGUACUACUGCAGAGCCAGACUUUGUCUCAAAAAAAAAAAAAAAAGGUAAGGUUGGCUGGGUGUGCUUGCUCGCACCUGGAAGCACUUUGGAAGGCCAAGGUGGGAGGUUUGCCUGAGCCUAGGAGUUCGAGACCAGCUUGGGGAAGAUGGUGAAAUCCCCUCUCUACAAAAAAUAAAAAAUUAGCUGGGUGCUUGAGCCCGAGUUGAAGAGCUGUGAUUGCUCCACUGCACUUCAGCCUGCGUACAGAGAGACAUUGUCUCAAAAACCAACCAACCAACCAACCAACCAAAUAAACACCAUUUUAGGAAGGCUUUUAAAAAAAUGGAAAUGAAGUGGAAAGCAGGGGAAAAAAGGAAAGUAGGAACAUUUGUAUAUAAUUUUUAGUUAGUGGGAUCAGAAAAUGGAAUGGUUUGAUGGGACCUUAUAUUUAACAUAAACUGCCAAAAAUAAGAUGAUUUCAUACAUGUGUCCCCUUCCUAGGACUAGUGUAGAAUCAUACAGAGGCUUGAUGUACACAGGCAUGCAAUAUAACAUUGUCUUUUUUACAUUCUCAGGUAAAUAUUUAGCUGCUACUUUAUUCCAGAAGAAUUGUCGUCCCCUUAAAAACAAAAAAUUAUGACCAGUAAAAAAAACCCUCCAAAUUGCUCUUUUAAUUAUUGAUACUGACUAGAGAUUAAAUGCUAUUUAGAUGGUAAAUCUUGAAUAUUUAUUUAUUUAUAGACAGAGUUUUGUUCUUCUUGCCCAGGCUGGAGUGUAAUUGGCUCACUGCAACCUCUGUCUCCUGGGUUCAAGCGAUUUUCCUGCCUCAGCCUCCCAAGUAGCUGGGAUUAUAGGCAUGCACCACCACAUCUGGCUAAUUUUGUAUUUUUAGUAGAGACGGGGUUUCUCCAUGUUGGUCAAGCUGGUCUUGAACUCCCGACCUCAGGUGAUCUGCCUGCCUCAGCCUCUCAAAGUGCUGGGAUUACAGGCGUGAGCCACCUCGCCCUACCUAUUUAUUUAAUUAUUUUUGAGACAGUCUUGCUCUGUCACCCAGGCUGGAGUGUAGUGGUGUGAUCUCAGCUCACUGUAACCUCCGUCUCCCGGGUUCAAGUGAUUCUCCUGCCUCAGCCUCCCAUGUAGCUGGAGUGAGCCACCACGCCUAGCUAAUUUUUAUAUUUUUAGUAGAGACAGGGUUUUGCCAUGUUGACCAGACUGUCCUCCAACUCCUGACCUGAUCUGCCUGCCUCGGCCUCCCAAAGUGCUAGGAUUACAGGUGUGAGCCACUACACCUGGCCUAUGUAUUCAUUUUAUAACAGUUAUUGAAUACUUUGUGUGAUGUUCUGGUUUAUACUAAUGAAUGAGAUGGCCAGGUCCUUAACAUUAAGCGGUUUUGAUUUAAUUGUAUGGAGAAGAGGUGGGUAACUCAAUCAUUGCUAGAAGCAUAUAUAUAUGUGUCUUCAUUGCUUAUGGGAAUGUGAAUAGGGAACAUCAAAAUUAGACUAAGGACUUAGGAAGGCUACUCAGAAGAGGGGAUUGUUUGAGCUGAGUUUUGAAGAAAGUUUGCAAGAUGAAUUAGUGAAAGAAUGAUACUGUAAGCAGAAGAAUUUCUGUACUGGAAGUCAUAGAAGCAUGAGCCACUGAAGGAAUUCUCUAGCUCUCCGUGGCCAUUUACAUUUAAAUUUGUUAAGAUUAAGUGAAUUGCCCCAUUGGCUGCUCUGAAAAGUCAUCCUUGCAUUGUUGCUCCUCUGUCCGACUCCGUGCUCACAGCAGCCACCUCAGCCACCACGGACUCCAGCAGCUUUAUCGCCAGAGUCCCUGACUCUCACUUUCUUUUUAAUCCCCUGCAUUGGAUCACUGGCUUGCCCUACCAUGUCAGAUGCAGCUGUGGACACCAGCUUCGAAAUUACUACCCAAGGACUUAAGAAGGAGGAAGUUGUGGAAGAGGUGACAAAGGGAAGAGAUGCCCCUGUUAAUGGAAAUGAUAAUGAGGAAAAUGGAGAGCAGGAGGUUGACAAUGAGGUAGAUGAAAAAGAGGAAGAAGGUGGGGAGGAAGAGGAUGAAGAAGAAGGUGAUAGUGAGGAAAAGGAAGCUGAGUCUGCUACAGGCAAGCAAGCAAGCAGCUGAAGAUGAUGAGCUUAACGAUGUCGAUACCAAGAAGCAGAAGACCAAUUAGGAUGACUAGACAGCAAAAAAGGAAAAGUCAAACUAAAAAAAAAAAAAAAAGGGUGACCUAUUCACCCUUGACUCCAUCUCAGAAUCUAAAAGUGAUUACCUUUGAGUAGAGAAGCCCACCCACUGUGGGCAGUGUCACCUGCAGAUAACACAUGCUCUUCACCACCCAGCCCAAACCAUGAGAGUUUGCAACAAGGGUGGAAAAAAGAACCAAAACUUCCAAAGUCCUGCUUUUUUUUUAAAAGUACUUUAAAAAGGAAAUUUGUUUGUAUUUUUUAUUUACAUUUUAUAUUUUUGUACGUAUUGUUAGGUCAGCCAUUUUUUAAUGAUCUCGGAUGACCAAACCAGCCCUUGGAGCAUUCUCUGUCCUACUUCUGACUUGUGUGACCAUGUUCAUUAUAAUCUCAAAGGAGAAAAAAAGCCUUGUGAAAUAAGCAAAAACAACAACAGAAAAACAAUCUUAUUCCAAGCAUUCCAGUAACUUUUUUGUAUAUGUACUUAGCUCUACUAUAAGUAGUUGGUUUGUAUGACAUGGUUAAUAAGGUCAAAUAUAAAAGGUUUCUUUUUUUUCCCUUUUUUGUCUAUGAAGUCGCCAUUUGCUUUUUUUGGCCUGUUUGAUGUAUGUGUGAAACAAUACUGUCCAGCAAUAAACAAGAAUUUUAUUGUGCCAAAAAAGAAAUAAAGUGAAUUUUAAAAUUCACUUUCUUAUUCACACCAGCCACAUUUCAAGUGCUUAGUAGCCUUAGCUAGGUGGUGGCUCCCAUGGUGGAUAGCUCAAAUAUAGGCCUUUUCUAUCAUUGCAGAAAGGAGAAGGCUGCACUCAGUUCAGUUUGGUGAUGUAGAGAGCAUUGGUGAUGGGUGAGGGGAAAAGAAAGCUAGAGAGGUGGCAGAGGCUCAACAGGAUUUGGAUGUCAAGCAAAGGAAUUUCAGUUGCAUCCUUAAAAGUUGUAGUGAGCUAUUGGAAUGACUUUAAAGUGAAGAGUGAUAUGUCCAUUGUGUGUUUUAGCUAGAUUCUCCCAAAAGCAGGGUGGAAGACUAGGUUAGAGUGAGAGAGGUCUCCACUAGAGGAGAGAGAACACCUUGAGACCCUUGCACCUUUUGUUAUUAUCAUCAUUAUUGUCAUUGUCAUCAUUGCUAUUUUGAGAACGAAGCCUGAACUAUGUGGCAGUAGGAAAGGAGAAGAGAAGAGCCAGGUAAGAGAAAGGCAAAGAGCACACAGAUCUUGAGGAUUGCUUGAACUUGGGACCUGACGAAGAGAGAGACCUUGCUGGUUACAGUGGCUGCCUGGCAGGGUCACUCUGAGGGAACCUGAGGAGCAGUGCUUUGGAAUAUAAAGAUGAUGAGUUAAUGUACAGGCAUGGAUUUGUUGUAUAGGCAAGUGAACUCGUCAGAAUCUUGGCUGGAGAUCAAAAUGUGAGAACUGUUGGGCACGGUGGCUCACGCCUUUAAUCCCAGCACUUUGGGAGGCCAAGGCAGGAAGAUCAUGAGGUCAGGAGUUUGAGACCAGCCUGGCCAAUAUGGUGAAACCCUGUCUCUACUAAAAAUACAAAAACUAGCCAGGUAUGGUGGCACAUGCCUGUAGUCCCAGCUACUCGGGAGGCUGAGGCUAGAGAAUUGCUUGAACCCAGGAGGCAGAGGUUGCAGUGAGCCAAGAUUGCACGACUGCACUCCAGCCUGGGCGAUAGAGGGAGACUCCAUCUUAAAAAAAAAAAAAAAAGUAGGAACCAUCAUUUUGUGAGUGGUAAAGGUAGGCGGGACGGUGAGCAUGGUCACUAGGGUGAAUACAACAAGUAAAGUUUUAAGGGCCCAGAGUGGCUCCUGUGGAACUCUAUACUCAUCUCCUCCUCCUUUUUAAGGGGCAAAUGAGAAGUAUGUACUCACAAAAGAGGCUCAGAAGGUGUCCCCAAGAAGUAGGAGGAAAGACGAGAGAAUAGGAUCACUGAAUGAAGGGGAAGAGUAUUUAGAAGAAUGGUCUACAGUGCAGAUGGAGCAGAGUUCAAGUACUUUAAGGAAUAGGGGAAAUACCUGCUGGACUCGGCAGUAGAAAUUAUUGGUAAACUUAGUAAAGGCAAUUUUAUUGAAGGGUUAAAGACAGAGUGGGUUAUGAUGAAUUAAGGGAUAUAUAGGUUGUGAUAAAUUUGAGUCAGUGAAGAUGAUAAUUUCAAGAAACCUUAAGAAAUGAAGAAGAGGCCAGGCACAGUGGCUCAUGCCUGUAAUCCCAGCAUUUUGGGAGGCCUACGUGGGUGGAUCAUUAGGUCAGGAGUUCAAGACCAGCCUGGCCAAGAUGGUGAAACCCCGUCUCUACUAAAGCUACAAAAAUUAGCCAGGCCCCGUGGCAGGUGCCUGUAAUCCCAGCUACUCAGGAGGAUGAGACAGAAGAAUCUGAAUCUGGGCAGUAGAGGUUGCAGUAAGCCGAGAUUGUGCCACUGCACUCCAGCCUGGGUGACAGAGUGAUAUUCUGUCUCAAAAAAAAAAGAAUAAAGAAAUGAAGAGAUGGUAGUUCAAGAGGGUUGUAGGGAUUUGAGAUGUGAGAAAGUUAAACAUGGUUAUUUGCAGAGGGGAAAAAUGCCUUAAUAAAGGGAGAGGGUGAAAAUGUCAGGAGCUGAGGGGAGUUUUUUUUAGGUCAUUGGGGACAUAGAGGAGCAUGGGAUGCAGAGCAACAGGUAGAGAGAGGAGAUCCCAUGGAAGAAAAGCAUCUUGUCUUUUAGGAGACAGAAUGACCAGGGUGGUUGUAGAUAGUAGGAGAAAAAAACUGAGAAACUGGGAAAGUUUCUGCCUAAACCACUGAAAAGAAAUCAUGGAGGUAGAUACCUAGAAUCACAUCCCAGCUUGAUUCCUUUUUUUUUUUUGAGACAAUCUCACUCUGUCACCAGGCUGGAGUGCAGUGGCAUGAUCUCGGCUCACUGUGACCUCCGCCUUCUGGGUUCAAGUGAUCUUCUGCCUCAGCCUCCUGAGUAGCUGGGACAACAGGUGUGCACCACCACACCCAGCUAAUUUUUGUAUUUUUAGUAGAGACAGGGUUUCACCGUGUUGGCCAGGAUGGUCUCAAUCUCUUGACCUCGUGAUCCGCCCACCUCCACCUCCCAAAAUGCUAGGAUUACAGGCAUGAGCCACCCCACCCAGCCCAGCUUUACUACUUUUUAAUUGUGUGAUCUAGGGCAAAUUACCUCUCUGAACUUUAUUUAUAUGUGAAAUGGAGUUCAGAAUAGGGCUAAAGUUAGGUAACAUGGAAAGCUCCUAACAGUGCCUAGCCCAUGGUUGAAGCUCAGUAGUCCUAGUUCUUCCAUCUUCCCUUCCCUUCGUUACCUUGAGACAUAAAGUCUCUUCAAAAAAUGUGUCAUGACCUAUAUCAUGGCACCAUGAUAUUCAAAGGAGCAGCAGCAGUGAACCAGGUAGUUAAAGCUUGGGUUUGAAGAGCAUAAUGUAAAAUUUUUCCUUUCCUUAAAUAGAGGCAAAGAUGAAACAGGUUAAUAGGGGCUUAACACAACAAGCUAUGAAGUUCAUUGUUGUAGAAAACCAUUGUAUAAUCAAGAUAUUCAAUGAGUUGUCAGCUAGGGUCCUUGAACUAGAUAAAGGACAAAAGAUAUGUAGCUAGUUAUAUCUUAAGUAUUUGUUUAAAUAUAUUUACAUGCUUUUCUUCCCUUCCCGUCCUAUCUCCUACUAACAAACCAACUACUCCCACUGUUAAACAAAAACAAAAGGAACACAUGCAUACCUGUAAGGUUUUCCAAGUCUAUAAAUACAUUUCUGGUCUUAAGUGCGGGCAACAUUACUGAUUUGUCUACUUUUUUACAUAAUGUGGUCUCUUGCUUUCCUGCUUGUAAUUUUUCUUCAUAAUAGAUUUAAAACUUUGGUGUGUGUAAGAUGUCAUUAAUUUAAAAUCUGAACAUUUUGUGUUUAGUCAUUAAGUGGACAGUUAUUAAGUAUCUGCUUUGUUAGGCCAUGAGCUAGAACUGGUGAUGUUGUGAUAAUAAAAACUCACCUUUCUCAAAAACUUCCAGAGAGGGAGGCAAGUACGUGUGAUAAGUGGUAUAAUAUAUUUUUAAGUAUCAUUUUUGGAAAACAUUUUAGAAGUCUAUGCAAACACUUUUAAAAGAAAGGGUUUCUAAAGGAAAGCUUUUCCAGAUUUUUUGAACCUUAGAUGGAAUUGGACUUUAUGCCCACUUUUGUGGGAAAAAAAAUUUCCUUAGUCUAGUUGCUAUUCUGACUUGCAUUUGAUUAUUAGGCCAGUUUUAAUUUUAUGUUGUUA